AAUUAUACAAUCAUUCCUUUUUCUCUAUCCCAUUUCAGUGUUCUCCAAUGCACAUAUGAAGGAGAGUGUACAGUCUAGAUGUAUAAGGAUAUGCCUGUCUGUCUCUGAAUGUAAAUGAAACACAUUGUGCUUUAUUCCUGAGACACAUAGCAUUGGCUCAAUCAUGAAACAAUGUUCUACUUGAAGGUUCUCUUCCUUUCCUGCAACCCAUUUGUCAUUCUCUGUGAAUCUUUCACUGAUGUUAAUGUUGAAAUUUGAACAUUUUCCAUAUUUAUAAUGCAAAAUAUAUCCUUGCUUACAAGUAUUGAAAUUUUAUAGGCUUUUUUUGUAACUUUCACCUAUCAUCAAAGGUACAUUUAGUUUGUUUCUUUUUGGUGUUAGAAAUUGAUCUCAGGACCUUACAUGUGUCAGCCAGAUGUUCGUACCACCAAGAUAUAGUCCUGGUACAAAGAUGUAAUUGGUAAAUUGCUAUAAAUUAAUUUUAAUGUUCAUUCAGUGAAGGAGUUUGAUGAAUGGCCUCACUUUGAACUGGCCUUAUUGCAUAGACCAGCCUGGACACUGUGUACAGGGCAAUCCUGAAAUUCCUUGUAAUCCUCUUAUAUCAGCCUCUCAAGUGCUGGGAUAACAGACUUGUACUACAAAAAUGGGCUGAAUCUCUACCUUUUGUAUUUAGUAACCAGUUACCUUGUUAUACCUCAAUUUUCAUUGCAUUUCAAUAUAUAUGAAAUAUAUAUUCUUUUCCACAUUAACUUUUUUUACUCCCUAAUAGAACUUCUAGUAUUCAAGUAAAAAGAUACAAUUUGGUAUCUGUGAACUAUAGGUUUAUAAUUACAAUUUAUAAAUUCCUUGUCCAUAGAAUGCUCAAAUAAACCUUAAUUUUCAUUUAUAUUUUAGUAAUUCAUAACCCUCCUUUUAUAUUGUACUAAAUAUUUAUGUGUGAAACCAGUUUCAAGAUUCUAAAUGCUGUAUGCAAGAAAAAUGAACACAUUGCUAUGAAUAACCAGAUGUUUGUGAGUGGCGAUUUGCAGGCUUCCUCUUUGAGCUCUCCUUUAAAGCAAUAGAAAAGUAUAGUAUAGGAGGUCCUGCAGGACAAUCCAUGCUACAGUUCUGUGAUCAUUUUGACAGGGUUUAAUAGUCUAGCAUGAAUGUUACUGAGUGACUAUAUUUGGAUGUACUUGAGGAUUGAUGGUGAUGACAUGCAGUUACUACAUAAUGAACUUCAGUUAGACUGUUUAUGACAGGAACUGUGAAAAAGCAGGUUGAGUGUGUCUGAACUUCAGGGCAAUUGUCAUUAUUUAGGAGACAGUGACUUUUGAAGAUGUAGCUCUGAACUUCACCCCAGAAGAGUGGGAUUUGCUGAAUGAAUCCCAAAAGAAUCUCUACAGAGAUGUGAUGUGGGAAAUAUCUAUGAAUAUUAAUGCUACAGGAAGAAUAUGGUGGCCAACAAAUUAAAGAAGAGGACAAAAAUGGCUCAAGAAAUCUAAGCUGAUCGACACACAAAAGAGAAAGGGAACAUUCCUUAAGUUCAGUGUUUAAGCAAACUACUACAACAAAGAUGUGAUGAAGACAAUUAUUUGAGAAUUGAAGAGCAGCAAUAUAAAUGUAAUGAAGAUGUAGAGACCUGCAGUGAUUUCCAGUCCUUUCAGAAGCAUGAAAUGAGAAAGACUGGAGAGAAACUCUGUCAAUAUGGGCAAUGUGGGGAGGACAGCUCUGAUCUUAGGGAAUAAACUCACCCUGAGAAGAAAAUUUUUUCAGAAAUCCCACACAAGGAGAAAUCUUCUGUAUGUGAGCAAUGUGGGAAAUCUACCAGCCAAAGCCAUAGCUUGCAAACGCAUCAAAGAAUUCACAGUGGGAAAACUAUGUAGCAUUCAUGAAUUUAAUGUCACUUGGAUUCAUCAUGGAUCUCAGUUUCCUUCAUCAGAGGGCUAUCAUAUGAUGUGACAACGUGACAAGAAGGUUAAGUGCAAGGAAGGAUGAGAAAUGAAGAGAGACAAGAGGUUCACAAGAUCCUGAUUUUACCGUGGUUAUUAUUCAAAUGUCUGUAAUUAGUAGCACUGUUAGUAAACACAUUCAUAAACAGUUAAGUGUAUUCCAAAAUCAUAAAUAUAUAUUAAAUGUAAUGUGUAUAAGUUUCACUGUGUGUAAAAUGUUACUCUCUAAUAUAGGGAAAAUACAUUGAGGCAGUUAUUUCUACACACUUGAUUCCGAGGUAGAAUAUUGCUGGUAAAUUCUACAAUGUAAUUCCUAAUUUUACUCCCUUAUCUUAUUGUUUUAUCAUUUUUAAAAAUAAAAUGGUUCAGACAUAGGCAAGGUUGUGAUUUCAUGUGAUUUAAGCAGUCCAGGAACCUGAGGCAAGAUGAUUUCAACUUUUCAAUUUAAGCCCAGGCUUGGCAACUUGGAAACAUAGAGAAAACCUGUCUGCAAAUACAAAAUGGUACUGUGGAGAUAGCUCAGUAUAAAUAUGCUGAAUUCCAAUCUCAGUCCUGAAAACUUAAAUCAGACCUUGUUUCCUGAUAAUGCAGUAAAACCAUUGGCCUCAUCUCAAACUCUGAGAAGACCUGGCCUGUUCUCACCCAUCCCUCCUCAGAGUUUAGGAAUCAUGUCCAGAGUACAUUGCCUCAAAUCACGGAGUACAUUUCCACUCUACUAAUGGACAUAGGAGUAAAUUUGCAAAAAAUACAGGUAAUCAAUCCCUGUUCUCUAAAGACAAGAGCAACCUCAUUUUAAGUGCAGUAAUGCCCUUGAGAAUUUCAGCAGCCCAUAUGUAAAACAAAAAUGGCAUGUAUCAACUUGUUCAUCAGUUCAGAUUUUAGAUCACUUUCCUUUUCCCUUCAGUCUCAAAUAUUUGGUCUUUCAUUACCAGCUAUUGGGUGAUGCAGGAAGGCUGUGUGCAUUGUGAUCUGGAAAGAGGCAUAGGGAGAUCAGGACAUUUAAUUAUAUGGGGUCCUCUUUUAUAUUUUUGCUGCCAUAUUUUGGACUGAGCGUCCCCUGCUGAUGAAGGCCCCUAGAAUUUGGGCCUGGUUGCUGGAUGACUUCUGCAGACAGCAGGAAUCUAUGCACAAGGAAACAUCCUAGAGGCUAGGAAGUUAAGUUUGGUGCCAGGGGCUCUGAGCUGGAUACAAAUGGACUAGAUGUUAUCUAUUGAAGUUGGAGUCUUCCCAUGAAACUUGUGAAGUCUGUGACAUGACUUCGGUACUGGCUUCAACCUGAUCCCUUCAGGCCUGUGGCAUGAGGCUUGACUGGCAGUGGGGAGCACAGUGCCCUGUCCUGUUCCUGAUUCAAAUUCAGCAACAUGCAAAGUGGAACACAUUCCACAAAGUCUCCUUCAGCUCUGUGUCUUGACACUAUAUGGUGACUUCAUUUGUGCAUGUGGAGUCUACAGGUUCAUCUGCAGUUUCUACAUAGAAACAUAUUUUUUUCUCCAUCCCCAGUCAGUUUUUUAUCUCAAAAGUCAGUCCUGAUUGCCCUGCAUUAACUGAAUGUUUUGGCUGCAAAGAGUCCAGUUCACGGAGUGAAGAGUGAACCAAGCAUUUAUAAGGUAAGAAUUAAAUUUCCAUUUUCCAGAUCAUAUCCACAUGGACAUACACAAUACAUGAUACAUGUGACUGUUUUGAAGGCUGUUUCCAUCUUUGACAUAAUUUGUGGCAUGGAGUGCUCUUAAACCUUGUUUCACAAACAUGUAUCCUGACUGAGGUAGAACAUGUUUCAUGGAAAUAAUACAGAAACUUGGGGAUACACUGAAUGUGUACUUUACCACCAUCUCAAUCAUAGGAAAGAAAUUAGCAUGAAAGAAAAACCUAAUAUUGUGGGACACAGGGGAUGAUGGAGCACAGCGAUAUCAACUCCUGGACCAAGGAAGGACUCCCUGAGAUCAGAUUGUCAUAGGUUGAAAAUAAAGACUGGGCUGUGACCUACUGAGUAUGACAGAAGUUCAAAGAACAUUAGACCUGAAGAUGCAAUGGAAAUGUAUGGAGAAAUCUGCUGGUAUUAACCCUUCAAACAUUGUAUUUACAAAGGUGAAUUCAAACAGUUGAAUUUUGGCAAGAAACAAUCUAACAUUUCCAACUUUCAUUUGACAAAUGUCUAUUCAUUUUAGAUACCCAUUUAUUCAUCUUUAAAUUUAGGAGAUCUCAUUUCUAUUUCAUUUCUUUAUGUAUCCUACAUAUUAGUACUUUUAUGAUAAAAUACUGGCAAAAAGUAGUUCCCUCACUAUGUGUUGUUUCUUCAUCCUAUGACCGGCUUCUCUUCCAGUGUAAAACCUUUGUAGUAAAAUGUCACAGCUGUUGAUUCUUUGUUAUGUUUUCUGUGCAACUGAGGUUUUGUUCAUAAAGUUGGCCUCAACCAAUGUCAUCAAGACUUCUUAUCCUAUCUUCCCACACAUUUUUGACUUUACUAUUUAUACCUUUGAUCAACUUCAAUUAUAGUUCAGUGCAUGGUGAAAUCAUGGGUCUAGUUUACCCUUUGGUAUAUGGAAGCCAGAUUUUCCAACUCCAUUUAUGUAGGUUUACUUCUUCUAGUUAAUGUGUUUAGUUCCAUUUUCAAAGAUUGAAUUGGCUGUGUAUGCUUGUAGGUAUUUCUGAAUAUUUCAAUUUGUUCCAAUGGUUCUUAGGUCAUUCUCAUCUUCUUCUCCAGUAGCAAGUUGUAUUUUUAAAUCACAGUAGCUUUGCAGCCCAAUUUCAAGGCAGAGAUUGUGAUGUUCCUUGUCCUGCAUUUGUUCCAAGAAAUGUUUCUGGUAUUCUAGGUCUCUUCUGCUUCCAAAUAAAUUUUUAGGAAAGUUUUCUCUAAAUCUGUGACAUAUGCUAUGUAAUUUCACUGUGGAUUGCAUUAAAUCUGUAUAAUAACUCUGAAAGUAUGGACAUUUUUACAGAAUUCAUUCUUCCACAAGAAUAAGGGAUAUCAACACAUUUUCUGCUAUCCACUUCAAUCAAUAUUUUAGAAAGCAAUACUUUUCAAGAAGAGGUCUUUUUCUUUGUUAGAUUUAUUCCCAUGUAUGUUCUUUUCUUGUAUGGAGUUAUUACCAUAAAUUUUUCCAGUGCCUCCUGUAAAAAAUCUAAAAAUUAAGAAGUGUGUUUAUUAUUUAUUUAAUGUAACAUUAUUAUUGAAUAACUGAUAACUUAAAAUAGUUGAAGCACUUGAUUUUUGGGAUUUUAGAUGUUAAAGCAGGGAUACAUGAUAAUAUGUCUUAUUUUGAUGUCCCAUUCUGCUACUAGGCAAACAAGUGUCUUGGACAGGUACUGUUUUGGCUCAAGUUGGAACUGUGUAUUUCCCUGGCUGUCCAUGUUCUGGUCUUCUCAACUAAACAAUCCAAUAUUCAUCCCAGAUAUAAUAGCAACCUGUAUUUCCAUCUGCUUCUCAUUGCAAGUCAAUGUUUGAUUUAAGAGUUUUAUUAAAUCUUUCCACUCUAUCUCAUCAGACUGACCAAGUCAUCUAUAUACUUUAAUGCACUUAGUUUCAUCUGAAAACUUUCUUGGAUUAAGUUUAAUCUGCUUUAGAUUAGUGAGAAAAAGAGACUCUUGAACUUAGAUAGUUUCUUAUGACAUAAUUAUAGUUGGAGUGCAAACAAAAAUUACUUCUUUUCUGAAGAAAGUUGGAACAUAAGUGUAUUGAGACCCUUUGUCAACUUUUCUACAUUAUGGUCCUUGAAAUGUUAGAGAACCAUGAUUAAUAAUUCUCUGAGCAUUCCAUUUUGGUUCUAGAACACAUGUUUUUCCUGGGAAGGUUCCAGAAAUAUCAAAUGGCACUAGUUUUGGUACCUCAUGGCUUUGUGCUUUCCAGAUAAGCUCUUGUGCUAUCAGGCUAAAACACUGGCCCUCAAAAGUCACUUUUUCAACAUUAAAAAGUAAAACACUUUGCAGUGCUUAAGCAUAUAUUCAAAAACAUCAAGGUAUUUUGAUCUUGUAUUCAUGUUUAAAAAGGAAAAAUAUCAGGUAUUUGUGUUAAUUUCUAUUUAUUUUUAUAUCCUCAAAUCAUGCCUUAAGGCAAUUCCACUCCAAGGAAGGUGAACACCAUCCAAAAUGAGUUAAGAACAUAAAAUUUGACAAACCUAUCUCUGCUCAAAAUGAUGUGUAAUUUUUUUCUUCUCCAGAAAUUUGUCUACUUACUCCCAUAUGUGUUUUCAUGAGGACAAGUUAAAAUUGAUCUCAAAAAAAAAAAAAAACCUGUUUACAAAAGAAAGCAGCGUUUACCAUAAAACUAACUCUUUCUAGGGUGAUCAAUUUUUUGAGUCCUCCAUGCACUAUAUUCUUGAUAGUCUUUGACUGCCAAAGAAAUAGCUGGAAAAAAUUGUUGCACUAAAUAUGUGAAAUAAAUAAGAAAAUCUUAAAUACUUCAUAGUUUGUUUUAUGUAAGAAAGUAAGAAUAUAAAUAUGUUAAAUGGCAAAAAAGAGAGGUAAAAACAAAGAUAUUUUGAAAAACUAAA